AAAAAAUCUAUCAGUUUUGAGUUUUUACAAAAAUAGACUGUCCUUUUAAAUUUUAUAGAUUUGUUCUGAAUUUUAAUAAACUGAUCAAAAUACUUUUAUUCCUCUUUCUCUUUCUAUUUUUUUCACAUUCUUUUUUUCUGUUCGGUACAUCUUCUACCUCCUCGCCUUUUCUGGAAUUUUCACGCUCGUCCUUUUUUAUUUUUUCCCUCGUCCCUCGUCAUCUCCUCUAUCGGCUCUGCGGUCCUCAACAACGUAAUGAGGACGGUGCCGACGGAGGAGAAGGAUGGAGUGAAUGGAAGCACUGAGGUCGUGGCCGAGGCUGUGCUCGCUAUUGCCCGUGAGGGUUAGGAUGAAGACACGUCCGUGCUUCUCCAAGGAGCGAAAAAAGAAUGCAGAGAAUAGGAAAAAAAAUAAUAAGAAUAAAAAGAAAAAAUAAAAAAAAAAUAUUUUUUCUUCUUGAAAGAUUAUUAUGUUUUAUCGCUGCUACAGAAAAGACCAAAAAACAGAGAAGAAAGAAGAAGAAAAUAAAAUUGUACUAUUAAGAUAGAGUUAUACUGUUUCUAAAAAAAUGCACUAUUUGAGCAAAUAAAUGUUGCACUCUUUGAGAAGAAAAUUAUACUCUUUGAGAUGAAAGCUGUACUUUUUGAACGAAAGUUGUACUUUUGAAUGAUAGUUAUACUUUUUGAAAGAAAGUUACACUCUUUGUUCUAAUAAUGC
rnacentral:lncRNA from 1 species